AUUGAACGCUGGCGGCAGGCCUAACACAUGCAAGUCGAGCGGUAGAGAGGUGCUUGCAUCUCUUGAGAGCGGCGGACGGGUGAGUAAUGCCUAGGAAUCUGCCUAGUGGUGGGGGGAUAACGUUCGGAAACGGACGCUAAUACCGCAUACGUCCUACGGGAGAAAGCGGGGGAUCUUCGGACCUCGCGCCAUUAGAUGAGCCUAGGUCGGAUUAGCUAGUUGGUGAGGUAAUGGCUCACCAAGGCGACGAUCCGUAACUGGUCUGAGAGGAUGAUCAGUCACACUGGAACUGAGACACGGUCCAGACUCCUACGGGAGGCAGCAGUGGGGAAUAUUGGACAAUGGGCGGAAAGCCUGAUCAGCCAUGCCGCGUGUGUGAAGAAGGUCUUCGGAUUGUAAAGACA
rnacentral:rRNA from 1 species